UUGUCAUUCUUUUUCUAGAUUUAUGCAAAUUGUUAAAAUAUCAUUGUGCCAAGUUUCUCUUGUUGGCAGAUGUUAGUACUGUUUGGUGGACUGGCUAUCCUUCUUAUAUUUAAUCUCAAAUUUUACAUGACGCAAAUAAUAUGCACAAGUCACCCGAUUCAAUCAACUCCCUUCUCUCGAUUCAAUCAACUCCCUCACAGCUACCAUCGCCUCUUGACACAGGAAGCUCCACUGCGAUCCACCAUCGAUAGCGCCAAUCUACCUCUUCUGUCACCGCCAUCUACACCACACAGUUCGAUAACCGUAUUCACAACCGCCACAACCUUGAUAUUGAAUCUACUUGUGCCUUAGACUACUAAGUAUCAGUAUCAGCUUAACUAUUCUUAGUAAUAGAUUGGAAAAUAGACCUAUCAAGUUUUGACCCAAUAAAGCUCUGAAUACCUAUAUUGAAACUCAAAGAAAACUAGAGAAAAAAAAACAGUCACAGCUAAAACAAGUCAAGGAGAAGACAACUACCUAUUUUUUGAAUACAAGGUCAUCAUUGAAGAUGUAAAUUGAAGUGGGUGUAUCUUUCAGUUUCAUCUGACAAAGGGUUUAGAAAUUGUCUUUUCUUUACUAUUUAUUGUAAUGGAAUAAUGUGGUCCAUUACAUGUGAUGGAACCCAGUAUUGUGUUUGUAUUUUCUUAUGAUCGUGUUUUUAAACUACAAGUUUUAUCUGGUUUAGGUUUAUAUUGCUUGAAAUGGCUCCAUAUUUCUGUAUUGCAGGAGUGUUGUUUUCCAUGCCACUCCUAAUGGUCCGAAUAUUGUUGGUUCAACAUUUUUGUUAGUAGAUUUGAUCUACCUCAUGGUUGUCGUUAGUUGAAUUGUCUUUAAACUUUUCUAUCUUUUGUUUUUUUUUUUUAAAUUAGGUGGGUAUAAGUUUUGAUUUAAUAAUUGUCAUGUUCUGUGUUUCUUAUGACUCAAUUAGUUUAAUUUUUGGAUGUUAUUAAUUUGGCAUAUAAUUUUUCAAGCUGGGUUGCUUGUUAUUUUGUUCUUACAAGCUCAAUAAGCACUAUAGACC